GUCAUUACAGAACGGCUAGUCUCGCAAAGCCAGACCAAACUACAGCAAGUAGAAUGGUCUGGAAUCACGCUACCUCGAGCCGUCUAUCCGUGGGGUAACUGGGCAGGCCUGUUUCAGAGCUAUAGAGAGAGAGAGUUGCGACACUUCCAUUGGACUCCGUUGUAGCCUACUUCCGGGGUAUGGAGCCUCGAAUAGUUCCAAACAACCAUUUUACGGCUUAGGAGACCGUUCAUUUCCAUUGCUGGCCGCCGAUUAACUUCUGAGGGUGAUGUUCAGCACAUGAAGCCCUACAGAUGCCGCCGAUUCAACAAUGCUGAUUAUGAUGGGCGGUCAAUUUAACCUGUCCUCCACAGUCGCCCCAUCAGUCCCUGGCAGUCUGGUCCCUGGAGCAGCUGGCCCUGGCAAAGUUAUUCCUUCACUGUUGACCCCUGACUGACUGGCCCUCGGCAAGCACAUCCCUGGAUCACCUGCCCCUGGAUCGCCUGCCCCUGAAUCGCCUGCCCCUGGAUCGCCUGCCCCUGGAUCACCUGCCCCUGGAUCACCUGCCCCUGGAUCACCCGCCCCUGGCAAUUUGGCCUCUUGAUUGCUCUCUCUGUCUCCUGUGAUGUCCUUUUCAACGCUCUUGAAAUCCACCUUAAUUUCUCCCUCGAUCUCUGUAACAAUUACAAGGGCGAUGGAUGAAAACUGUUGGGCCUCAACUUCAACAUCCUAUCUACUUUUGUGGCUUUGAAUUGGUCAUUUUCAAAGUGUACCUGUAGCCGUACAUGUGAUAAGCCUUCUCGGACUGAUUGGAGCAUCCAAAUGCUGCACAGCCAACCAUGGUAUGACCAUUGAUCUAUAAAAUGUUAGUUGUAACCAAUGAACCAUGACACCAUUGAAGAUCACAGAGCGGG
ensembl:lncRNA